rnacentral:rRNA from 1 species
UACGGGGGGGGCAAGCGUUGUUCGGAAUUACUGGGCGUAAAGGGCGCGUAGGCGGCCUACUAAGUCGGACGUGAAAUCCCUCGGCUCAACCGAGGAACUGCGUCCGAUACUGGCAGGCUGGAAUCCGGGAGAGGGAUGUGGAAUUCCAGGUGUAGCGGUGAAAUGCGUAGAUAUCUGGAGGAACACCGGUGGCGAAGGCGGCGACCUGGGUCGAUACUGACGCUGAUGCGCGAAAGCGUGGGGAGCAAACAGG